rnacentral:rRNA from 1 species
CCUACGGGAGGCAGCAGUGGGGAAUAUUGGACAAUGGGCGAAAGCCUGAUCCAGCCAUGCCGCGUGUGUGAAGAAGGCCUUCGGGUUGUAAAGCACUUUCAGUGGGGAAGAAAGCCUUGGGGCUAAUACCCUCGAGGAAGGACAUCACCCACAGAAGAAGCACCGGCUAACUCCGUGCCAGCAGCCGCGGUAAUACGGAGGGUGCGAGCGUUAAUCGGAAUUACUGGGCGUAAAGCGCGCGUAGGCGGUCUGAUAAGCCGGUUGUGAAAGCCCCGGGCUCAACCUGGGAACGGCAUCCGGAACUGUCAGGCUAGAGUGCAGGAGAGGAAGGUAGAAUUCCCGGUGUAGCGGUGAAAUGCGUAGAGAUCGGGAGGAAUACCAGUGGCGAAGGUGGCCUUCUGGACUGACACUGACGCUGAGGUGCGAAAGCGUGGGUAGCAAACAGGAUUAGAUACCCUAGUAGUC